AUUGAACGCUGGCGGCAAGCCUAACACAUGCAAGUCGAACGAGUGGCGGACGGGUGAGUAAUGUCUGGGAAACUGCCUGAUGGAGGGGGAUAACUACUGGAAACGGUAGCUAAUACCGCAUACCAUCGGAUGUGCCCAUAUGGGAUUAGCUAGUAGGUGGGGUAAAGGCUCACCUAGGCGACGAUCCCUAGCUGGUCUGAGAGGAUGACCAGCCCGACUGGAACUGAGACACGGUCCAGAAUCCUACGGGAGGCAGCAGUGGGGACUAUUUGACAAUUGGCGAAAGCCUGAUCCAGCCAUGCCGCGUGUGUGAAGAAGGUCUUCGGAUUGUAAAGCACUUUAAGUGGGGAGGCGUUACCAACAGAAUAAGCACCGGCUAACUUCUUGCCAGCAGCCGCGGUAAUUC
rnacentral:rRNA from 1 species